UUAGCUUGUCAAGAAGAGGGCAGGACUGUCACUCAGAAACUUGAAAGACUGUCUGGCCUGUCAGAUGUACUCGUAUAUACCAGCUAGGUUAGGCUGGGAUCGAUCUGUUAAAAACAUGUUUACACGCUACCACCAAAAGCUUUUCACCUCGUCUCUACCUUUCGUCUCGGAUCACUUCACGCCCCUCAGGAGGUUAGGAUAACGUGACGAACAAAAUUGGACGGACAGCUCGCCGACUAUUUGCUUUUUGAAAACGAGAAAAGGAAUUAAAGUUCUCCUAUACCUGGGACAAGAUGUUCGCCUUUUAUCGGUAGGUGCGAAUGUAAUAGCCGAUCCUAAAAUAAAGCUAACGCGAUGUGGAAAUACGGCUUCUACUUCUGUAAUCGAGACUGGUCACGAAGCUCGAAUCGAAAGAGGCGAACACGUGUAUCGACGUCCACGAGAAUUCACUCGAAGACGACACCACAGCCCUUUGUCGUCGUCGUGACCAACAUCUUGGUUCCAGGCACACCAGGAGGUUCCAUUGUUCCGGAUGUCGUCUCAGAUUCAACGACUGAACGUCACGUUCCCCGGCGAUACGCCGUCCUGUCGUCGUCCUCUUAUCGGGCCACUCGCAGAGCCACCUUGGCAGCCUCGAAUAAGCGGGCGUGACUUUGCACCGACGGCUAAUCGGAUCGAGAAGACGCGAAAACGCCAAUCCUAUAAUUCCGUCGUAGCGGAAGGUCUCGCGGCCUUCUUCCUGUCGGAUUUUUCGCGACGGAACGAUGGACGAGCCCUGACGGAUCCCUUUCGACCAUCCACGAAUGUCGCAGAACGAGUGUAUUGGAAUAUUUUGGGGAACACGGGAAUCGCGUAUCAAAAUCCUGUUACACCUCCUCCAUUUACUCGAUCGGUCCCCUGUUCGCCGUGGAACGGAACGAAGGCACGCUUGUAAAAAGUGACAUCAAGAGGAGGGGAGGGGGAGCGUAUUAAAAAAAACGCAAAUGCGACAAGGUGGUAAACGCAGACAGGCAAUUUCUCAAGAUUACUUUGAACGAUAUUAAAGCCAACUUUUCUCUUUUUUUUUUUUCUUCCCCCCCUCCCAUCCGAACCGAGCGCAGUUUCCUUUGAGUUUGCACACAGGAGGAGGAGGAGGGGGAGGGGGAGGCUUAGUCGUCAAACCUGUACGAUAAAAUUAACUUGUAAAACCGCCCGGUUAAAGGCCGCUGGCUUCGUGGAAAACGCGAGGCUGACUCUCGAGAAUUCACCCAUUUCGUAAAUUAAUAACGACGGCCGCCGGUCGAAAAGAGGGAUGAUGGAAAUUUAUAUUUCCCCUCUCUUUAUUUUCCCAUCCCAUCGCAUUGUCAUCAGCGUUUUUCCUCCCUCUUUCGAGUUUCGUUCUUUUUUGAUAUUCGAGUAAGUCGAGAUUAUGCAUUUGUAUAUGUAUUUACGUAUUAAUUGAGGUUUUCGGAUUUUUUAAACUAUGUCGAAUUUGAAAAUUGUUAAGAUAAAUUUUAUCGAGUUUCGAACAAAUAGUUCUCUUCUAACGAGAUUCUUUUCUAUAAAUUUGUAUUAUUUAAAACGAAUAAAUUAAUUUAUAGGAGAUACAGUCGAUAGCGACCUCUUUCUCGUGAUAUGUUUGAUCCAUAGAUUGAAAUUUAAAAAUGGAGAAAUAUAUAUAUAACGUUUAAAAUGGAUAGAACAAAUUCUACAUAAACAUUUCCAAUCUAAUUAAUUAUUUUAAUCUUAUCCCAUUCUAUCACUUAUAUCACUCUAAUUGAAUUUUAAUAUGCACGAAUAGAAAUAUCUUGACACGUAGCAAAAACAAUUUUAUGAAUAGACUCCUCUAGACAGAGAGGAGCUAACGUGUCCUCGUCCCUGAUCGAGCAAGCUUGAGUAACAAGUUUUAGAAUUUCAAAGGUAUCGCGUGUAUUCCCCUUCGUUUCUCGUUUUCCUCUUCGAGUGGGAAGAAAAAAGACUUGAAAAAGAAAAAGACGGAGCACAUCUUGUUCCGUGAUACGGCUUGUAACGAACAAAACGAGUUAAUUAACCGAUGGGAUAAGAGGUACACGAAGAAUAUCGUUUAAUAUCUUUUCGUUAUUUGGGAUAAUUUCGAAUUAAACUUUUCUUUUUUCAAUCGAUAAAGACGGGGCAAUUUCAGAUAAGACGCUUAUUGAAUGAUAUUUAUUAUAUUGCUCAACACUUAGCAUAUCGAGAUAACGUUUUUUCAUUUCAUUCCGAUAUGUACGUGUAUCCCUUGAUUUUAAUUGAAUUUAAUUUAAUUAAUUGAACGAUUGUCGGUGGAAAUAUGUUCCUUUAGAAAAAUGUACAAUUUUCUUUAUUUUUCCCCUAUAUUUUUUUUUAAUAAAUCUUUCUCCACUUCGAAUUGUUUAAAUAAUUAUUUGCUCGGUAUAAAUAAAAAAAAAUUUUAUGUAACCCUUCUUUCACUUUGAGAGAUGCUUAGAAAUAAUUAUUUUUACCGAAUGAAUUAAAUUAAGAAAAAUUAGAACAAAAUUGAAACAAAUUCCUGGAAUAAGUUCCCUUAAUUUCACACGAUUCACACGAUAAAAAAAAGGAAAAAAAAUUCCGACUAUCAAUUUCACGCGAAACGAUACUCUUUGAUUCCCAUCCACCUCUCUCCCUCAAAAAAAACCCCGUAAUCACACCUUCCACGUCAAAACCUUGAAUCAUCAAAGCUCCUUUGCCAUCACCUGGCAAAGGGGUUCAAAAGCGCUCUUCCUCCCCUCAAGCCUUCCUCCUCAAAGAAAGAAAAGGCGCGUGGAUAUAACCUACACUCAACGCCAGAGACAAAUAUGAUCGGCGGCGGCGCUGCUGGCGAUAGCGUUCAUUAUGGCCGCUUAAUGGCCGCGAUUUACCAUUGAAAAAAGCUGGCGACACCGUCUGAAUGAGCCAUUACGUAGCCCGGUCUACAGAAAUAAUUAUCGUAGCAUUGACACAAAAGGGCGUUGGCUGGCUGCCUGCCUUCAUUGCAUACACAUCACCUCACGUAUGCGUAUACAGGGUGUCCCGCUCGAAAUCAACCUUGAUUCAUUUUCUUAAUUAUUCGAAAGAAAAUUAAACGAUUUCCAUGUACAGUUUUAUCUGUGAAAAUUAAUUUUCAUUUCUUCUUCAAAUUUAUAUAUCUCUCUCCUAAACCGAUAAUUCUCCUCCUAAUAUAUAUAUAAUUCUCGCGAAUAAUAAAAAAAAAAAUUCGUUCAAAAUUACGAAUAUUCCCAAAAACAUUUUUUCCUACGAUUAACGACUCCCUCCCCUCCCGUUAAAUAUAUCUCGAUCGAAACGGAACCACCCUGUACAUAAUCCUCCCUCCUGUCCACUCCUCGUUCCUCCUCUUCCCCAUCCAUCUAUUUACGAUACGAUAAAAGAAGCGUCUCAUCGCGAGAGAGGAGGACAGGUGGGGGCGAGUGGUGGUGGGGGGAAGAGAGAGAGAGAGAGGGUCGAGCCAGUCGGCCGACAGUGGCGACGCUCGAAAGGCAGAUUGUUUGUUUGUCGGGAGCUUCUGGUGCUGCGCGCACAAACAAGUGGAAACAAAUAAUAUCCUGGCCGCAUUACGCGAACGAGUCGGGGAGGGGGGGAGACUCAGGCUGCCCCAGGGCGGCGGUAACGAGGCGAACGAGUGCCGUGAACCUCUGCCGUCAUUAAUGCCGGCCUCGGGCCCACGCGUGCCCCUCUCCUUGCCCUCCCCUCCCCCUCGCCUCUUUUCUGUUCCAUCCAUACCGAUUCCGAUGCCUUCGUCUCGAUACGAAUCGAGGGUCGUAUCGGGAUCCCCUUUCAUAUUUCGAGGAAGGGAAGAGGGGGAGGAGGAGUCGUGUGUCAAUCGCGUUUUUCAAUCGGCUGGAAACCGGAACUGGAAAUUGAAGAAUGUUCGAUCGAUGUUGGAUGGAAGUUGGCUCCUCUAUGCGGAUGGCGGUGGUGGUGUUGGGCGACGCGUGGCGAGGGAUCGUUUGGAGGGAGGGGGGAAGAGGAGGUGGGGAGUUAGAAUCACCCGUUUCCUGAUGACGAAUGAUGAUGUUUCGCGGGGACGAUUUGUCGAUCGGAGGGGAAUCGAACGCGUUUCGUGGUAUUGGACGAUUUGUUUCUUUUUUUUUUUUUUUCGAGGAGAAGGGAGAGGAAUUAUCAGUUAUACGAAUGGCAAUUAGAUAGGAUUGAAUGUGAUCCAUUGAAAAAUUUGUACUCUAUAUUUUCAAUUCGCUUAAUCUAAUUUCGUAUAGUUGAUUGAAAUAUAUAUAUAGAUACAACAUUUCGGUGUUAAAGGUGAUGACAAAAGUGCGAUGAUCGUAAACCAAUUCCUUAGCAAUUUUCGAAAUUGAUCACGGACAGUCGUAAAGGAGAAUACAGUUUCACGGUCAUAAAAGCGAGGGAUCAAACCGGAAAUUGCCCGAUCCCAGCGGAGGCAGAAGGAGAGAUUCUCACUUUCGAUCGGACAUUCGAGCCACAGCAUCAAUUAUGAAACCAGUAGAUUUAGGAAAUGUCGUAAAUUUGAGGAAGAUCCGGUUCUCUCUUCAAUAGAUUCUAAAUCUCUUAACAAGGUGAUUCUAGUAACUGCGAGUAGUUUAUUGGUGAUAGCCUACGUGAAAUUAAUAAAUAUUGCCAGAAAUAAAAACGUAGUAGUAACAUAACGUUGAAAAGCUCGUCUGCAUUUUUUAAUUUCAAAUCUCGAUUACUAUGGACCUACUUAAGUCGAAAAUUUUAGUUCGUUUCUUGAAAUUCGAGUUACCAAUAUUUGAAAUCGUUUCCACAAAUUAUUUAUACCUUAAGAAUCUUCGAAAGAAAAAGUAAUCGGCUUUGCAACAAAAGUUUCACGAGUUCUAUUCGAUAAUUAAAGUGCAAUUACCUUCGGUUACGGCUAACACUUGGAUGGGUGACCGCUUAGAAAAAUACGCUUAUUAGAAAUCUGAAAAAGAUCUGCUUUUUAAGAUUCUUGGUUAUAUUAAUAGUAAAUCAAUAACAAUUUGUGAUACUAUUUAUACAAUUCAAAUAAAAUAUAUCCAGCAAUCAAUAUAAUAAUAAAUAUAAUAAAGAUAUAAAAAUAUCCCUCGACAAAUUUUAAUAUUCAAUAUAUAUAAAAUCGUUCUAGAAAAUCAGACAAGGCGGUUAAACGGACAAACAACAACCAACUCCUCCUCCUCCUCCUCUCCUCGACGCAACCACCUGUAUAUCCGUUAUUUAUUCUCUGUUCGACCGCUGACUGGCUUAAUUGCUCGGCCAACAUCGGCACCGCUACCUCCAUUAGGCUUGCAAGCCGCUUAAUGCGACUCUGGUAUAUACGCGGUCGCUUCAUUUACGCUUAAUAUGGCGCGUACGUGCAUAAACGGUUUCAGCGUCUUCAGGAGCGUGUGUUGGCUGUUUGGCCGGCGAUGAUCGGCUAUCGAGAGCCUUUUCGGCUCCCCUGGAUAACUCUCUCUCUCUCUCCUCCGCCUUGUGUUUCUGCGUUUAUACGCCCCGCGUGCGCACACAAUCGUGUUUCCUCCCACCUAGGAAGCGACUACAAGUCCGCUCGAGUACAUUGCACACACGCCUGGCUAAUGGCUCACCGGUGCACAGGUAAUCCCACCGCGUGAUCACGGCCUCGCCUCUCUCUCUCACUCUGUCUCUCUUUCUCUCUCGUGCGCACGAUGCCACCUGCUCGACACGCUCCGUCUUAGCUAGACACGUGUACGUUUAGACACUCCGUCGAUAGAGAUUGGUCUGCGAUCGAAUCGCGUGAUUUUGCCGGGAUAAAAAUAUGGAAAUAUGGAUUUGAAUCUUUUUCUGCGCGGAGAGGUAUGCGAGGUAUACAUAAAAUAUAACUUUGUUAUUUUUAUUCUUCAUCAAGAUUUUUAAUAAUUGUAUCGCAACAGUGAUGUAAUAAUUUUUGUUGUUUCAGGUGUAUUGAAAUUUAAAUUUAAUCAAGAAAAUUUCUAUCCAAUAAAUAACCAAAUUUACAAAUUAUACAAGUUAUAUAUUUUGCAAAUUUCUUGAUGAUAUUUAGUCGGUAUCCAAAGAGAAAUCGUGUUCGGGAUCGGGCAAUGAAUGCAGUGCGCGAGGAAAGGGAAAUAGUUAUUUUUUAAAGAAGAAACUCGAGUCUUUUUGCUGUAACCUUCGCCAAUAAUGACGGGUAAUAAUCGAUCGAUUCUUCCGCGUAUUGUAAGUUUCAGUUGCUUGUGCAAGCGCCACUUCCAUCGACCCUUAUAUGAUUAUACGGAGGAACGCGUAAUUACUGUUUCUCAUACACGGGAAACCAAGUACAAGCGAUUAUCCGAUCGCACCCAUGUCGAAACACACAUCUCGAUCAAUUACAUACAGGCUGUUUCAGCUUGUGUGUGAAAAUUGUUUUCGAAGAUACAAUUCAUAAUGUGAAUAAAAAGUAUCGUAUAAUUGUCAGGAUAUUUCACCGGUUUCGAUGAUUUUUAAAUGUUACCUAUUUCUUAAUCUAAAUCUACUUUGAACCUAACUUUAAUCUAGUUCGAAUCUUAAAAGAAACAUGUCGAAAUUUAAAUUAGGUUUAUUUUUAAUUUAAUUUAAAUAUAACUUUUUAGAUUGGAUAGGCGUAACUUCGAUUUUAAAUUUUAUAAAUCUAACCUAGAAAUAAUCCGUUAUUUCUUGGAAAUAAAAUAACUAUACUUUUUACCUUACUUUAAAUAACUUUAAUGGUUACAUGUCAAAAAACACUAAUGAUUUUCAUAACUGUAUUUCAAAUU